rnacentral:rRNA from 1 species
UACGUAGGGGGCAAGCGUUGUCCGGAAUUACUGGGCGUAAAGAGCGUGUAGGCGGGCAUUUAAGUCAGGUGUGAAAGACCGGGGCUCAACUCCGGGAUUGCAUUUGAAACUGGAUAUCUUGAGGGCAGGAGAGGAAAGCGGAAUUCCUGGUGUAGCGGUGAAAUGCGUAGAUAUCAGGAGGAACACCGGUGGCGAAGGCGGCUUUCUGGACUGUCCCUGACGCUGAGACGCGAAAGCGUGGGGAGCAAACAGGAUUAGAUACCCUGGUAGUCCACGCUGUAAACGAUGGGCACUAGGUGUAGGAGGUAUCGACCCCCUCUGUGCCGCAGCUAACGCAAUAAGUGCCCCGCCUGGGGAGUACGGUCGCAAGGCUGAA